AAAGUUUCAGGCUCCGGGGUGGGUUUUCUGAGUAAGGGUUUAAUGAAAGCAGAUUUGAGGGAAGUUGGAAUAUUGCCAGAUUGCAGAGAAAGGUUUAUGAUUUUGGUUAUGAGGGGACUGAUGAAUUUGUGGUGAGUUUUGAGCAGAGGAGAGGGGAUGGGAUCAAGAGGGCAUGUGGAUGGUUUAGAACUACGGAUUAACUUCUCGACCUCCUGCUGCAUUAUGGGGGAUAAAUGAGACAGGUGUGUUGUGAUGGGUGUUGAUGGGAAGUCCAGGAUGGCGCUGUUUAGAGGUGAAAAUGAGGAACGGAUGUUAUCUAUUUUAGAGGUGAAAAAAUUGAGAAAUAAAUUGCAGUUUGUUUCUGUGUGAGUGUAGAAUGAAGAGGUUUGUGGUUUUAGAAUUAAAGUAAACCUCCAGC